UAUUCUCAAGACACCCCAGAGAAUCUGGAAGUGGACAAUAGAUGAUUUUAUAGACAACUAUCUAUCUUUGAAUUUCAGACUGACCUGCUAAGUCCUGGACAGCUAAUGACAGACUAGUCAACAGCUCAGAGACCAAAGAUCAGAGUCUGAAUUGGACUUGGUGGAGCCUUUAGCUCACAAGAAAAGGACAGGUGAUAGGUGUGGUUUCUGGCGUAGAAAGAAAUGCAAUUGAAGGCAGAUCAAGAAAACAUUCACGAAUGAGAGCCAUGAUUUUUAGUUGAGUCAAGAUGGAGGAACAGGACUUUGCCACAGAGCAUAACAUAAUGGCAAAUGUAACAACAGGACAAACCCAGGGAGAGAGCGAGAGAGAAACAGCAUGAGAGGGGCAAGGGUCAGAGCGGCUCCCCGCUGAGCGGGGAGCCCGAUGUGGGACUUGAUCCCAGGACCCUGGGAUCAUGACCUGAGCCAAAGGCAGACGCUUAACCAUCUGAGCCACCCAGGCGCCCUGUGGUAAGAACACUAAAAGUGAGAUCCAUCUCUAAAC